UGGGGGGUACGAGAGGGCCGCUACCACGCAAGUGGAUGCCAAUCCCCAAAACCUCUCUCAGUUCGGAUUGAAGUCUGCAACCCGACUUCAUGAAGCUGGAUUCGCUAGUAAUCGCGCAUCAGCCACGGCGCGGUGAAUACGUUCCCGGGCCUUGUACACACCGCCCGUCAAGCCAUGGGAGCCGGGGGUACCUGAAGUGCGUAACCGCAAGGAGCGCCCUAGGGUAAAACUGGUGACUGGGGCUAAGUCGUAACAAGGUAUC
rnacentral:rRNA from 1 species